rnacentral:rRNA from 1 species
GUGAGGAAUAUUGGUCAAUGGACGAGAGUCUGAACCAGCCAAGUCGCGUGAAGGAAGACGGUUCUAUGAAUUGUAAACUUCUUUUGUGCAGGAAUAAAGUGGGUUACGUGUAACCUUUUGUAUGUACUGUACGAAUAAGGAUCGGCUAACUCCGUGCCAGCAGCCGCGGUAAUACGGAGGAUCCGAGCGUUAUCCGGAUUUAUUGGGUUUAAAGGGUGCAUAGGUGGAUUGAUAAGUCAGCGGUGAAAGUUUGCAGCUUAACUGUAAAAUUGCCGUUGAAACUGUCGGUCUUGAGUGCAAAUGAGGUAGGCGGAAUGUGUUGUGUAGCGGUGAAAUGCUUAGAUAUAACACAGAACUCCGAUUGCGAAGGCAGCUUACUGGGAUGCAACUGACACUGAUGCACGAAAGCGUGGGUAUCAAACAGGAUUAGAUACCCUGGUAGUCC